UACGUAGGUGGCAAGCGUUGUCCGGAAUUAUUGGGCGUAAAGCGCGCGCAGGCGGUCCUUUAAGUCUGAUGUGAAAGCCCACGGCUCAACCGUGGAGGGUCAUUGGAAACUGGGGGACUUGAGUGCAGAAGAGGAAAGCGGAAUUCCACGUGUAGCGGUGAAAUGCGUAGAGAUGUGGAGGAACACCCGUGGCGAAGGCGGCUCUCUGGAACGCAACUGACGCUGAGACGCGAAAGCGUGGGGAGCAAACAGG
rnacentral:rRNA from 1 species